CAAAACUUACGAGUGUCGUUUACAGUAGAAUGUUUUACAAGCUGUUUUACCUCAACUCUUCUUAAUUAGUCGUAAAAGCUUUGCAAGACUCUUCAGGUAAUCCUUGAAUAAUACUUAACCUCAACGAGGAAAGUUUGACACAAAAAGUUCAAAACUGUUAAACAGGUUCAGUUAAAUCAAACAAGAUAAAAUAGCUCAAAGAGUCUUUUAAAUCGUUUGAUUAUUCUGAUCUUUACCAGCUUUUUCAUCCAAAGAGGUUUUGGAAAUGUCCAUCGAAUGGCCUCCUCCAUUAACAAGCUGUCCUGAAGCAUUGAGAUUAUGUAAGGCAGAGAAGAGAGGAAGAGAAAGUACCUGAAUUUCUGAUAGAUUCUUAUCUUCUAAGGUUGC
rnacentral:lncRNA from 1 species